ACGAACGCCUGGCGGGCGUGGAUAAGACAUGCAAGUCGAAACGCUAAUCAGGGGGGGUAGCAAUAUUCUCUGGUUGGAGUGGCGCAAAGGGUGCGUAACACGUGGGGUAAUUCUGCCCGUGAAGCCUGGGAUAACUUGCUGAAAGGCGAGGCUAAUACCGGAUGUGGAAUCUCUGGGAGCAUUUCUGGGGAUUGGAAGCUGGGGACCGCAAGGCCUGGCACUUCACGAUGAGCCCGCGGCCUAUCAGCUAGUUGGUGAGGUAACGGCCCACCAAGGCUAAGGACGGGUAGCUGGUCUGAGAGGACGACCAGCCACACUGGAAACUGAGACACGGUCCAGACACGCCUACGGGUGGCAGCAGUCGAGAAUUUUUCACAAUGGGCGCAAAGCCUGAUGGAGCGACGCCGCGUGGGGGAUGAAGGGUUUCGAUCCGUAAACCCCUGUCAUUUGCGAAACAAUGGUUAACCGAUAACACCGGGUUAGCUUGAUAGUAGUGAAAGAGGAAGGGACGGCUAACUCUGUGCCAGCAGCCGCGGUAAUACAGAGGUCCCAAGCGUUGUUCGGAUUCACUGGGCGUAAAGGGUGCGUAGGUGGCCAGGUAAGUUUGGUGUGAAAGCUCGGAGCUUAACUCCGAAAAGUCAUUGAAUACUAUCUGGCUGGGAGGGUCGGAGGGGAGACUUGGAAUUCUUCGGUGUAGCAGUGAAAAUGCCGUAGAUAUCGAGAGGAACACCAGUGGGCGAAGGCGAGUCUCUGGACGACACCUGGACACUGAGGCACGAAAAGCUAGGGGAGCAAACAGGAUUAGAUUACCCUGGUAGUCCUAGCUGUAAACGGUUGCACGUUUGCCUGUAAGAGGAAAUCGACCCCCUUUUGUGGCGAAGCUAACGGCGCCUAAAACGUGGCCGCCUGGGGAAGUACGGUCGCAAGAUUAAAACUCAAAAGAAAUUGACGGGGGCCUGCACAAGCGGUGGAGUAUGUGGCUUAAUUCGUAUGCAACGCGGAAGAAACCUAUACCUGGCCUUGACAUGCACGUAGUAGGAGCCUGAAAGGGUUAACGACCCCGCAAGGGGAGCGUGCACAGGUGCUGCAUGGCUGUCGUCAGCUCGGUGUCGUGAGAUGUUGGGUUAAGUCCCGCAACGAAGCGCAACCCUUGUUGUCCUGUGCCACUCAAUCGAGGAGAUUGGAGCACUCUGGGACAGACUGCCUCGCUUAAAACGAGGGAAGGAAGGUGGGGAUGACGUCAAGUCAGGAUGGCCCUUACGGCCAGGGCUGCACACGUACUACAAUGCCGGCACAGAGGGAAGCAAGACCGGAAAGGUGGAGCAAAUCCCAAAAAAACCGGGCCUCAGUUCAGAUUGUCGGCUGCAAAACUCGCCGACAUGAAGCUGGAAUCGCUAAGUAAUGGCGCAUCAGCUACGGGCGCCCGUGAAUACGUUCCCAGGCCUUGUACACACCGCCCGUCACAUCAUGAAAGCCCGGUUGUACCCGAAGUCACCGCGGUUAACCGCAAGGAGACAGGUGCCGAAGGUAUGGCUGGUGAUUGGGAUG
rnacentral:rRNA from 1 species